rnacentral:rRNA from 1 species
GGUUAAGCGACUAAGCGUACACGGUGGAUGCCCUGGCAGUCAGAGGCGAUGAAGGACGUGCUAAUCUGCGAAAAGCGCCGGCGAGGUGAUAUGAACCUUUGACCCGGCGAUGUCCGAAUGGGGAAACCCAGUGUGUUCCGACACACUAUCGUUAACUGAAUACAUAGGUUAACGAGGCGAACCGGGGGAACUGAAACAUCUAAGUACCCCGAGGAAAAGAAAUCAACCGAGAUUCCCCCAGUAGCGGCGAGCGAACGGGGAGCAGCCCGGAGUCUGAAUCAGCUUGUGUGUUAGUGGAACGGUCUGGAAAGUCCGACGGUACAGGGUGAUAGUCCCGUACACGAAAACACACUUGCUGUGAACUCGAAGAGUAGGGCGGGACACGUGGUAUCCUGUCUGAAUAUGGGGGGACCAUCCUCCAAGGCUAAAUACUCCUGACUGACCGAUAGUGAACCAGUACCGUGAGGGAAAGGCGAAAAGAACC